GAUGAACGCUGGCGGCGUGCCUAAUACAUGCAAGUCGAGCGAACGGACGAGAAUCUUUCUUCUCUGAUGUUAGCGGCGGACGGGUGAGUAACACGUGGAUAACCUACCUAUAAGACUUGGAUAACUUCGGGAAACCGGAGCUAAUACCGUAUAAUAUUUUGAACCGCAUUGUUCAAAAGUGAAAGACGGUCUGGCUGUCACUUAUAGAUGUAUCCGCGCUGCAUUAGCUAGUUGGUAAGGUAACGGCUUACCAAGGCAACGAUGCAUAGCCGAACUGAGAGGGUGAUCGGCGACACGGGAGCUGAGACACGGUCCAGACUCCUACGGGAGGCAGCAGUAGGGUAUCUUACGCAAUGGGCGAAAGCAUGACGGAGCAACGCCGCGUGAGUGAUGAAGGUCUUCGGAUAGUAAAACUCUGUUAUUAGGGAAGAACAUAUGUGUAAGGAACUGUGCACAUAUUGACGGUACCUAAUCAGAAAGCAACGGCUAACUACGUG
rnacentral:rRNA from 1 species